CCUACGGGUGGCAGCAGUGGGGAAUAUUGGACAAUGGGGGCAACCCUGAUCCAGCCAUGCCGCGUGUGUGAAGAAGGCCCUCGGGUUGUAAAGCACUUUCAGUGAGGAAGAACGCCUGGUGGUUAAUACCCAUCAGGAAAGACAUCACUCACAGAAGAAGCACCGGCUAACUCCGUGCCAGCAGCCGCGGUAAUACGGAGGGUGCGAGCGUUAAUCGGAAUUACUGGGCGUAAAGCGCGCGUAGGUGGCUUGAUAAGCCGGUUGUGAAAGCCCCGGGCUCAACCUGGGAACGGCAUCCGGAACUGUCAAGCUAGAGUGCAGGAGAGGAAGGUAGAAUUCCCGGUGUAGCGGUGAAAUGCGUAGAGAUCGGGAGGAAUACCAGUGGCGAAGGCGGCCUUCUGGACUGACACUGACACUGAGGUGCGAACGCGUGGGUAGCAAACAGGAUUAGAUACCCCUGUAGUC
rnacentral:rRNA from 1 species